CAAAAUGCAAGACUGUCUUCUUUCCCUCUCUCCUUCCUUUCCUUCCUUCCUUUCCUUCCCCUUCUCUUCUUUUCUCCCUUCCAUCCUUCCUCCUUUCCUUUCUUCCCACCUCCCCGUUCCUGCCUGGAUUCUUUCCUUUAAUCCUUUCAUCUCCAACAAGCAUGAGGAGUGAGCUGCCGGGCUCCCACUGAACACUUCUUCACUUCCCCCACUUUGCCCGGGCCCAAGACUAAGGGUGUCACCCUCCUGUCGCCACCUUCUCGGAACCACUCACCUCCCUACAAAGAGAGACUAGGAAAUGGGAAGGCUCAGAGACGGAACACGACUUGUCCACAGUCACACAGCAGGAAUAGAACAAUAUGGGCUUCCUCCAGGGGACAAAACAACACCUAACUAUGCAGCAUGGAAGAGUGAGAGGAGCAGAUGGAUGCAAACAAUACUCAGGGAGCACCAAGAGGGUGCACGCAGAGAGGAAACGCACCUACCAGAUGAAAGGUUAGGAUUUGGC
ensembl:lncRNA